AAGUAGGAGGUAGGUUUAGUACGUAGGCACCAUGGAUAAUGAAUCGUGCAUGCGACUGACACGAGUCGAUAGUAUCUUUGAAAGAUUCUUACCUCC
rfam:Glossina brevipalpis unplaced genomic scaffold Scaffold88, whole genome shotgun sequence.